UUGUAUUGUUUAAUAGUAUAAUUUAAAAAAAAGAACUUAGAAGUCAAAACAACUGAUAAUAUCAAACUGCCCAAAGCUAGGAGCUUACCUUGAAUGCACUUAGCUUUUACUUCAGCUUGGAAAUUCUGUGAGUCCAGCGUUCUUUUCUACUAUACCACGGUGCUAUUGUUUUAUUUAUAUUUUGCUGAAGAAAAUGUACUUUAAAUUAUUUUUGAAGUAUUCCUUUUAAUUUUAUUUUUUUAGAGACAGGGUCUCCCUAUGUUGCCCAGGAUGGUCUUGAACUCCUGCCCUCAAGCAGUCCUCCCCGCUCAGCCUCCCAAAGCUCUGGGAUUACAGGCAGAAGCCACCACACCCAGCCUGUACUUUUAUAUCAACAUUAGGAAUACCCGCCGACCAGAGAAGGAAAAACCACAUUUGGCUUCUGCAUCCAGUAUUGUUUGGAAAUAACAUGUUUGUCAUUCAUUGCUGUCCAAAAAGAAAGAAAAGAAAAACAAGAUUUAAAAUGGAUCUUGAUUGCCGGUUCACAAAUUUAAAACUGACACUAGUCUUCUGAGAAUUACACUUCUCAUAAACAAACAGACCUACUUAAUUCUAAGUUGUCUUUAUUAAAUUGAUCAGAGGGGAAGCACAUCUUUCCUUUCCCCGUCUUACGUUACACAAAGGUCAGGCAUAGGUUGUGCAGAUUUUCAUAAAACCUGCAAAAUGAAGAAUAUCCUUUACUGAAAUGGAACAUCACAGGUCCCUAGAAUGGAAUGGGUUUUCUUAGUAUAGCUGUCACAAGUGUGUGCCUCUUGUUAUAUUAAUGCUAUCCCUGCUUUUGUUAGUUCCAUAUAAAUUAUUUGGCUUGAAUGGAGAUAAAAGUCUAGGUCUACAACCAAUCCUAGAACUUCAAGUUAACUUUAAGUUUGGUGUUGUAUAUGGACAGGCUGUUACACUACCCAUUUCAUUGUGCAUAUUAAACGUUACUGUUACUUAUUUUUAGUGGCUAGAUGAUUGUAAGAGGACAUUUGGUGCCAAAGAAGACAUGUAUAGGAUAAACACAGAUGCACAAGAAUUGGAGCUCUGCCGAAGAUUAUACAAAUUGCAUUUUCAAUUGCUGCUUCUGUUCCAGGCCUACUGUAAACUUAUCAACCAAGUAAAUACAAUAAAAAAUGAAGCAGAGGUCAUCAACAUGUCAGAGGAACUUGCCCAGCUGGAAAGUAUCCUCAAAGAAGCUGAGUCUGCUUCCGAAAACCAAGAAAUUGACAUUUCCAAAGCUGCACAAACUACUAUAGAAACUGCCAUUCAUUCUUUAAUUGAAACUUUGAAAAAUAAGGAAUUUAUAUCAGCUGUAGCACAAGUCAAAGCUUUCAGAUCUCUCUGGCCCAGUGAUAUCUUUGGCAGUUGUGAAGAUGACCCUGUACAGACACUGUUACAUAUAUAUUUCCAUCAUCAGACACUGGGCCAGACAGGAAGCUUUGCAGUUAUAGGCUCUAACCUGGACAUGUCAGAAGCCAACUACAAACUGAUGGAACUUAAUCUGGAAAUAAGAGAGUCUCUACGCAUGGUGCAAUCAUACCAACUUCUAGCACAGACCAAACCAAUGGGAAAUAUGGUGAGCACUGGAUUCUGAGACACUUCAGGCCUUUAGGAAAGAAACUAAACUGAAGAUGAUGAAGAAUAUUAACCAAGCACCUUUUAUGGACCCUUGCAUUCACUGAUAACUUUCUGGCAGCAUCUACUUUUUAGUGUAACUAAUGUCAAACUGUAUCAAAAACAAAGAUCUGAAAGAAAAAAACAUCUGAUAUUUUAACAGCUGCCAAUAUCUCCCAAAAUAACUGUAUGAAGAAGGAAUUUUUUAAUUACUUAACCUAUGUGAAAAGAAAAGGGCUAAAAGUGAUGCCUACAAAUACAUUACUUUCUGGGGAAAGAAAAGAAUUCCAAGAAUGUUUGCAAUAAUGGCCUCCAAUACUGAAACAACCAAAAGCAGGUGAAAUGAGGCUGAAAUCAAGGCUGUUUCAUUUUAGCUGAAGACCUGCAAAGCUGCUUGGAUUUCUAGCAGUCGAAAACCUAACCUGCAAUUGAUGCUUAAUCAUCCAUCCACAUGAACAUGCAGUCAGCUAUACACAUCAAGACUCAUUUGCAAAAACCAUUGAUUUUUUCAGUAUGUGGGAUAAGGGUUUGGGUUUUUUUGUUUUUUGGUCUGUAUAAGGAAUUAUGUGUGUGUGAGUUGGGAUGUAUGGAUAUGUGAUAGUCAUAUUUUCAAGGUAUGGAUGUUUGGUGAUAACGUCUCAGAGCAUGCCUAAAAGAGCACUGCAAGAUUAUUUUUGAAGAAAUGUUAUUUUAUUAGAUCUAACUCUUCAUAGUAUGUAAAUGUUAGAACAUUUUAAUAAUAUUUUAAAACUGGGCUUUCCCAGUAUUUCAAAAAGAAAUAAUAUAUCUGUUAACGUUAUUGGAAUGCUGCUCAGUUCUCUGAUCAGUGCUUAUGUUACGAUUGUUGAUAACUAACCAAAGUAGAUGCCUGCAGAGACUUUAAAAUGUAAAAUAAAGAUGUAUGCUGCCUGUCAGCUAUUCUCAUUAGAAAAGUUAACUUAUUUUACUCCAUAUAGAAACUGUAGAGACUAAAACCAGUUAUUUUCUUGUACAUUUGUGCCAUGCACUGUUAUACAAGAAUAGGUGUACAAAGCUAAAGAAAAAAUUGUGGUCAUUGAUGAUGGAAUACACGACUUGCAGGCUUUGAAGUCUGCAGAAUUCAAGAAAAGAGCUGCAAAUGCAUUUUUGUAUCUUUAUUCAGGACUCACAUGCUUUACCCUAAAGAAACCUGGGGCUAGGGGAAAUGAAAGGAAGCCUGAAGACUGACUACCAAAACAUGCAAUAUACUUAUUCACUGUCUAAGUCUGUAGUAUAACAUGAACUGGAGUCUCUAUCCUUUUUUAAAUCGCAUUUUGUAAGAAAAGAAAAAAAAAAAAAAUGUAGUCCCACAACUCCUGAUUUGAAAGAAACACCUUGUAUUUUUUAUAUACAUCUCUUAUCCACUGUGACUUUUCUUUUAAACUGGGCUCUGUGAUUCCAGAGUUUAGAAUGUAGAAAUGAAAUGCUUAGCUUUACCUUUUCUUGGGGGUGUGGACCCUGCCAGAAAUGUAAUUACAUAUGCUCAAGUGCAUUAAUUGAAGGCACUGUGCACACCAUUGGACUGCUGACCACAGUUACGUUUCCAGUAAAAUUCCGUAACUGGUCACGGCUCAUUCAUAAUCACUGUAUUUUUUGACCCUGAUAAAGACAAUUAUUUUGAUGGUGUUCUGGUACUGUAAGUGGUAUCCUUUAAAUUAUUUAAAAUUUUUGGGUGUGGGGCAGGCAGAGAGGGAUGGUGUCCAGAGAUACAUCACACUUUACGUCCUAUCUUACUAUCCUCUGUUUUUCUCACCCUCCUUACAUCCUUUUUGUCAAAAAUAAAAAGCAUUGUAGCUGUC
rnacentral:sRNA from 1 species